GACGAACGCUGGCGGCGUGCUUAACACAUGCAAGUCGAACGGACAGGCGCCAGCUUUCUGGCGUGGAUGAGUGGCGAACGGGUGAGUAACACGUGUGCAACCUGCCCCUGACUCUGUGAUAAGCCCUGGAAACGGCGGCUAAUACUGCGUACGAGAUUUUGCCGCAUGGGCACUAUCUGUAAAGUUUGGCGGUGGUGGAUGUGCUCGCGGCUUAUCAGCUUGUUGGUGAGGUAGUGGCUCACCAAGGCGACGACGGGUAGCCGGCCUGGGAGGGGGACCGGCCACAAUGGGACUGAGACACGGACCAGACUCCUACGGGAGGCAGCAGUGGGGAAUAUUGCACAAUGGGCGAAAGCCUGAUGCAGAGACGCCGCGUGAGGGAUGACGGCCUUCGGGUUGUAAACCUCUUUCAGCAGGGAAGAAGCGAAAGUGACGGUACCUGCAGAAGAAGCACCGGCUAACUACGUG
rnacentral:rRNA from 1 species